rnacentral:rRNA from 1 species
CACGUAGGGUGCAAGCGUUGUCCGGAUUUAUUGGGCGUAAAGAGCGUGUAGGCGGCUAGGUAGGUCUGCUGUGAAAACUCGAGGCUCAACCUCGAGACGUCGGCGGAAACCAUCUGGCUAGAGUCCGGAAGAGGAGAGUGGAAUUCCUGGUGUAGCGGUGAAAUGCGCAGAUAUCAGGAAGAACACCCGUGGCGAAGGCGGGUCUCUGGACAGUUCCUGACGCUGAGGCACGAAGGCCAGGGGAGCAAACGGG